GAUGAACGCUGGCGGCGGGCCUAAUACAUGCAAGUCGAGCGAACAGACGAGGAGCUUGCUCCUCUUACGUUAGCGGCGGACGGGUGAGUAACACGUGGAUAACCGACCUAUAAGGCUGGGAUAAGUUCGGGAAACCGGAUCUAAUACCGGAUAAUAUAGUGAACCUCAGGGUUCAAUAGUGAAAGAGGGUUUUGCUGUGACUUAUAGAUGUAUCCGCGCCGCAUUAGCUAGUUGGUAAGGUAACGGCUUACCAAGGCAACGAUGCGUAGCCGACCUGAGAGGGUGAUCGGCCACACUGGAACUGAGACACGGUCCAGACUCCUACGGGAGGCAGCAGUAGGGAAUAUUCCGCAAUGGGCGAAAGCCUGACGGAGCCACGCCGCGUGUGUGAUGAAGGUCUUCGGAUCGUAAAACUCUGUUAUUUGGGAAGAACAAAUGUGUAAGUAACUAUGCACGUCUUGACGGUACCUACUCAGAAAGCCACGGCUAACUACGUG
rnacentral:rRNA from 1 species